UGUGUUCAUAAGAACAAUGCUACGUGUCGC
rnacentral:piRNA from 1 species